GAAACGCCGACUAAUCCCCGAUGGGAUACGAUGCUUCAUGGCAUUGUAUUGAAAGUUACGGCGGCGACGGAUUGGCUCGCGUCCGAUUAGCUUGUUGGCGGGGUAACGGCCCACCAAGGCUACGAUCGGUAGGGGUUCUGAGAGGAAGGCCCCCCACAAUGGGACUGAGACACGGCCCAUACUCCUACGGGAGGCAGCAGUGAGGAAUAUUGGUCAAUGGGCGGAAGCCUGAACCAGCCAUGCCGCGUGCGGGAAGGAGGCCCUAUGGGCUGUGAACCGCUUUUGCCUGGGGGCAAUAAGGGCGUUGCGCACGUCCGAUGAGAGUACCAGGCGAAUAAGCAUCGGCUAACUCCGUGCCAGCAGCCGCGGUAAUACGGGGGAUGCGAGCGUUAUCCGGAUUCAUUGGGUUUAAAGGGUGCGUAGGCUGUGCGUCAAGUCGGGGGUGAAAUUCCGGUGCUCAACACCGGGGCUGCCCUUGAUACUGUCGCGCUGGAGUGCGGAUGCCGCCGGAGGAAUGAGUGGUGUAGCGGUGAAAUGCUUAGAUAUCACUCAGAACACCGAUUGCGAAGGCAUCUGGCGAAUCCGUAACUGACGCUGAGGCACGAAAGCGUGGGGAUAGAACAGGAUUAGAUACCCUGGUAUUCCACGCCGUAAACGAUGAUGGCUAACCGCCGGCGACACACUGUCGGUGGC
rnacentral:rRNA from 1 species